ensembl:lncRNA
GUACAUAUUUUCACAGUGAGACAAUCUCAGUGUAGAAGAUCGGGUUCAUUUCGCCUAAGUACGAGUCAGUCAGAUGGCAGGGGUGUGGCUUAUUAAGUCCUGUUUAUGUAGGUUAUAAAAUUACCGUGCGGGUUGUAUGGAAGUGCGUCAUUCUGAUCAUCAUCUUUUCCGCCACUCCAUUUCUGGCGUGGUGUGUGAGUGCCUGGAAGAUUUUUGGAUGAUUUUGUCUACUAUUUUCUACAUGUGCUACAGAAAGAGGCUGGUUUAACCAGCUGUGGCUUGUCAUUGGACCGUUAGACACUAUCACCUGGCUGGGUUGGUACUUCGGCUCUCCGCAAGUUGCUGUCACCGCCAGCCAUCCCAGCAUUGCCUCUCUUGUAGGGUCAAAAAUCAUUCACUGCAACACUGCUCAUUCUCUGCAAUCCCCCAAAUAACACCAGGGUGUCAUAAUGGUAUGGAAACCUGAUAGUUGAGAAUACACUGAACACUGAAGGGAGUAUCAGUCUUCCACCUACAGAGAGAAUCAACAAACCCAUGGGUUAAAGAUCAAUAGAGACUUUUAAUGCAUCCAGUUUGGUUGGAGUAAGACCAGCAGUGUUUCUGGUCUUUCAUAGACAAGGUGUAACCCAGCCAUGCAAUUAUAGAAUUACUUUGGAAAUUAUUUAAUUUGACAUGUAGGGCAAUUAUUAUAAUUACUUUAUUAUUAUUCUUUCUUAUUGUAUUUUGUUUUUGUAUUUUUCGUUAUUAUAGUCUUGACACCGUUGAUUGAGAUUUGAGCCAAUAGGAAGGCAAGGGGGAGCGGAAGUCCCGCCUCCAUGUAAUAUUUCUUUCGGCAGAUGCCUGCUUUUUAUUUCUUUUUUCAAUUGAGCCACGUAGCUGUCGCAACGUUGGAGAACUAUAUAUUUCUUAUAUAUCAAACUGAAACUUUGCGUAGAACUUUCCCAGUAUAUACUGCUGCAUAAUCAUUUUAUUUUGUGUAGCAAGAACGGAUUUUGGUGAGUUGUCUAUUUUGAGGUUUUUUUUUUAGAACUUGUAAUGUAGUAAGUUCAGCUAGCUAGCAUAGUUUCUACAUAGCAUUGCUGUUGCAGAUAAUUGAUAUGUUUACCUGUCCUAGAAAUAUUGAUAGCAUAGAAAUUACUUUUGUAUAUUAUCUACCUUAAUUCAUAUUUGAAGAGAGACAUGUUUUGUAAAGGAAGACACGAUCCAGUCAAAGUGGCUGGCUGCCUCGUGACAUUUUAGUUAAUUGAAUCUUGGAAUGGCGGCACUCAUGUGCUAAGAAAGAACACAAAGAGAUAUGCGCCAUUUUAUUUUCCUACUUUAUUGUGAAGGAUGUUUGCAACACAUUAUACUAAGAAUUGUAUGGUAUUUUAUGUUGUUCAAGGUAAUGCAAUUAAUACCCAUUGCAGUUCUUUAUACUUCAUGGUUAUUACUCAGAUUAUGAGUAAAUGUAUUUGUGAAAUUGAAAUGGUUAUUAUACAGUUGUACAACAUUUAGAAAUAUAGUCUUUACAACAUGAUUAGGCUUAAUGAUUAAGAAUCUAUUUUUUGUGAAUUAUCCUAUGUUGAUGUUGUUUUUAGUUCUUUAAGAAGAACAGUGUAAUGACCAGUAUAGUGUUGAGGUUAAUAGAAUGUAAGCAAUGUCCUUUUUCUUUUAAUAAGUGAACAGGCCAGGUUUUUUGUGUGGAUGAACAGUCUACUGCAGAGGAUUGAAACCAGACAGAAGAAACACCGAGCUCAUAGAACCCCUAUUCCUUGAAUCACUUGAUCAAGAUUUCUCUAAUCAGGGAAUAGCGACCCACCCAAACAAUUGCAUGCAGAAGAUUUGAACAUCUCCCUCAGAAUACCCGCCUAUGCGGCAGGACUGAUACAACUUGUGGGUAGGAUUUGAACAGAAAGAACCCUUUUGUAAGAAAACCAGAAAACUGUAAAUCCAUUUAUUUCAUUUAAUUCAUUUCCAUUUUAUUGUGACUCUGUAUUUUACUUUAAUUAAUAGUUCAUAAGUAAAGCCGGCAACUUAACUGUACUUACCUUGUCCACUGGUUUCAAUCCAUUUAGUUAGUUAUCAAUACACCUCCCUCCGAAUCUAGUACUG